rnacentral:lncRNA from 1 species
UGAAAUCCAAUGGCUAAAACUAUGCAAUACACCUACCACUCCAUUUCAGAACGAACUUCGUACGUACUUGAAUUGUCCAAUUUCAUGUACCAAUGAAUAUCGGAUUGAGUUCAAAACAUGGGGAACAUCAUAAUAUGGUGGGAGGCGUCAUUUGGUGACUUUUGAGUGAAAUCCAAUGGCUAAAACUACGGAAUACACUAGCCACUCCAUUUCGUAACGAACUUCGUAUGAACCUGAAUGGUCCAAUUUCAUGGACCAAUCGAUAUCGGUUGGAGUCCAAAACGUGGGGAACAUCAUAAUACGUUGGGAGGAGUCAUUUGGUGAAUUUUGAAUGGAAUCCAAUGGCUAAAACUAUGCAAUGCACCACCCACUCCAUUUCAUAACGAACUUCGUACGAACCUGAAUUGUCGAAUUUCAGGACCAAUCGAUAUCGGAUUGAGUACAAAACUUGGGGAACUACAUAAUAUGGUGGGAGGCGUCAUUUGGUGACUUUUGAGUGAAAUCCAAUGGCUAAAAC